rnacentral:rRNA from 1 species
GAGUUUGAUCAUGGCUCAGAACGUACGCUGGCGGCACGCCUAACACAUGCAAGUCGAACGCAGUAGCAAUACUGAGUGGCAAACGGGUGAGUAUAAUGUGGGAAUCUGCCUUUUGGUUUGGAAUAACACGAGGAAACUUGUGCUAAUACCGGAUAAGCCCUUACGGGGAAAGUUUUAACGCCAAAAGAUGAGCCCGCACUUGAUUAGCUAGUUGGUGAGGUAAUUGCUCACCAAGGCAACGAUCAAUAGCUGUUCUUAGAGGAAGACCAGCCACAUUGGGACUGAGACACGGCCCAAACUCCUACGGGAGGCAGCAGUGGGGAAUCUUGCACAAUGGGGGAAACCCUGAUGCAGCGAUGCCGCGUGAGUGAAGAAGGCCUUUGGGUUGUAAAACCCUUUCGUCGGGGAAGAAAAUGACUGUACCCGAAUAAGAAGGUCCGGCUAACUUCGUGCAGCAGCCGCGGUAAUACGAAGGGACCUAGCGUAGUUCGGAAUUACUGGGCUUAAAGAGUUCGUAGGUGGUUGAAAAAGUUAGUGGUGAAAUCCCAGAGCUUAACUCUGGAACUGCCAUUAAAACUUUUCAGCUAGAGUAUGAUAGAGGAAAGCAGAAUUUCUAGUGUAGAGGUGAAAUUCGUAGAUAUUAGAAAGAAUACCAAUUGCGAAGGCAGCUUUCUGGAUCAUUACUGACACUGAGGAACGAAAGCAUGGGUAGCGAAGAGGAUUAGAUACCCUCGUAGUCCAUGCCGUAAACGAUGUGUGUUAGACGUUGGAAAUUUAUUUUCAGUGUCGCAGGGAAACCGAUAAACACACCGCCUGGGGAGUACGACCGCAAGGUUAAAACUCAAAUGAAUUGACGGGGACCCGCACAAGUAGUGGAGCAUGUGGUUUAAUUCGAAGAUACGCGCAGAACCUUACCAACACUUGACAUGUUCGUCGCGACUUUAAGAGAUUAAAGUUUUCGGUUCGGCCGGACGAAACACAGGUGCUGCAUGGCUGUCGUCAGCUCGUGUCGUGAGAUGUUGGGUUAAGUCCCGCAACGAGCGCAACCCUCACUUUUAGUUGCCAUCAUUAAGUUGGGCACUCUGAAAGAACUGCCAGUGAUAAGCUGGAGGAAGGUGGGGAUGACGUCAAGUCCUCAUGGCCCUUACGUGUUGGGCUACACACGUGCUACAAUGGUAUCUACAACAGGAAGCAAGACUGCGAAGUUAAGCAAAUCCCUAAAAGAUACCUCAGUUCGGAUUGCACUCUGCAACUCGAGUGCAUGAAGCUGGAAUUACUAGUAAUCGUGGAUCAGCGUGCCACGGUGAAUGCGUUCCCGGGUCUUGUACACACCGCCCGUCACACCAUGGGAGUUGGUUCUACCUUAAGGCAAGGUUUUAAACCCUUGACCACGGUAUAGUCAGCGACUGGGGUGAAGUCGUAACAAGGUAACC